rnacentral:tRNA from 2 species
GCCCUGGUGGUGAAAUUGGUAGACACGCCACCUUGAGGGGGUGGUGAGCUAUGCUUGUGCUGGUUCGAGUCCAGUCCAGGGCA